rnacentral:rRNA from 1 species
CGCAGCCGCGGUAAUUCCAGCUCCAAUAGCGUAUAUUAAAGUUGUUGCAGUUAAAAAGCUCGUAGUUGAAUUUCGGGGUCGGUAGGUUGGUCAUGCCUCUGGUAUGCACUGGUCUCACUGAUUCCUCCUUCCUGAUGAGCCGUAAUGCCAUUAAUUUGGUGUUGCGAGGAAUCUGGACCGUUACUUUGAAAAAAUUGAGUGUUUAAAGCAAGCUAACGCUUGAAUACAUUAGCAUGGAAUAAUGGAAUAGGACGUUCGAUCCUAUUUUGUUGGUUUCUAGGAUUGACGUAAUGAUUAAUAGGGAUAGUUGGGGGCAUUAGUAUUCAAUUGUCAGAGGUGAAAUUCUUGGAUUUAUUGAAGACUAACUACUGCGAAAGCAUUUGCCAAGGAUGUUUUCAUUAAUCAAGAACGAAAGUUAGGGAUCGAAGACGAUCAGAUACCGUCGUAGUCUUAACCAUAAACUAUGCCGACUAGGGAUCGGAUGAUGUUAAUUUUUAUGUACUCAUUCGGCGUCCG